rnacentral:rRNA from 1 species
UACGGGGGGGGCAAGCGUUGUUCGGAAUUACUGGGCGUAAAGGGCGUGUAGGCGGCCAACUAAGUCCGACGUGAAAUCCCCAGGCUUAACCUGGGAACUGCGUCGGAUACUGGAUGGCUUGAAUCCGGGAGAGGGAUGCGGAAUUCCAGGUGUAGCGGUAAAAUGCGUAGAUAUCUGGAGGAACACCGGUGGCGAAGGCGGCAUCCUGGACCGGCAUUGACGCUAAAGCGCGAAAGCCAGGGGAGCAAACGGG